rnacentral:snoRNA from 1 species
CCCUAUUCCCAAAAGUGAUCACGGGCUACCCAUGAUCAGUACCCAUGGCCUGGGCACUGAUAGUGCAGUGGAAAACUGGAAGAAGUAUUCCCCAUGUUUGGAGGUUCCAGCCGUCCCUCCCUGGUGCUUCCAUAUU